GAACCAUGAAAGUCUGUCUGUGGAACUUGUCACCUCAGUGAGGACCACUGCUGAUUGGGCUCAUCAGACUGGCUAGGCAGGUGUCUUCUUCCUCCCUGAAUACUCCAUGUUCCUCCCUCCCAAGCUACACUCAUUUAGAGAUGACCUCCCAGAUAAAAGCCAACCAUUCUGUAAUCAAAAGAAUACAAGUAGCCGAACUUCCCUGCUAGAAAUUCUACACAAUCUCACAAGGUCUGUUUUGUAGAAGAAUUAGGGUAGUGUCCAAGACUCUGGAUACAUCCAAAUGAGGACCUGCAUGUGGCAGUCUGAUUUU
rnacentral:snRNA from 1 species